UCGGGAAAACUCGCGGUAUUCCCUGAACCAACCCAAGCUCAACCCUUCCCCAUUUCAACCUUCACUCAUGCAGGAUUCACUCAAAACACUUGUAUGAUCCUCUUGUUCCCGUGUCAAACCCUGUUUUUUUCUGAACAGGAUCUCGCGAGCCCCAAGAAAACAGUCCGUCUCCAAGAACGUAGAGCGGCAGUGGAAGGCGGUGGUCGCCGGAAGCCUCGCCUGAACAGAUAUGCUCUGGGUGGUGCCGUCUUGGCCUCCACCAACUCUAUUUUGCUGGGCUAUGAUAUUAGGGUGAUGAAUGGGGCGGUGCUAUUCAUCAGAGAGAGCCUCAUGAUCACACCAACCCAGGUUGAGAUCCUGUUGGGUUCGCUCGAUGUGGUCUUGCUGAUUGGAUCUCUCGCCUCUGGCCGGACCUCCGAUUGGAUCGGCUGGUGAUACACGAUAGUCCUUGCAGCCUUCACGUUCCUAAUUGGUGCACUUCUGAUGGGUCUUGCUCCAUCCUUCAUCUUCCUAAUGGCUGGGAGGGUGGUCGCAGGGAUUGGUGUCGGGUAUGUCCUCUUGAUCGCCCCAGUCUACGCUGCCGAGAUCUCUCCAGCAAUGACCCAGGGAUUCCUGUCUUCGUUGCCCGAAGUCUUUAUCAAUGUUGGGAUUUUACUUGGGUAUGUAUCCAACUAUGCCUUACAGGCCUACCAGUUGAUAUAAGUUGGAGGCUCAUGCUUGGGUUAGGCGGAGUGCCGGCAAUCACGAUCAGGGCAGGCGUGAUGAUGAUACCUGAGUCACCGAGGUGGCUGGUGAUGGAGGGCAGAUUCGAAGAAGCAGAGAGGGUGCUGAUCAAGACAUCAGAAGAUGAGGUAGUAGUUGAAUUGAGGCUAAAUCAAAUGAAGACCAACAUAGGGGUUGAUCGAUCCACGGGCCUGCUUUGGCCCGAUGGCACGGGCAGGGCUUUGGAAGGAGGUCCUCUGGAGGCGCAUCCGCCAGAUUCUCAUAGCAGCCAUUGGACUUAAAUUCUUCAUGCAGGCGUUAGGAAUGCCGCCGCCGUGUACUUUAGUCCAGAAGUCUUCCAAGAUGCUGGGAUUAGCAAUAACCAACAGCUUUUAGGGGUGACUAUCGUGAUGGGGGCUUGCCAAGACAUUCUUUGCCGUUGCUUCGGCUCUUUUCUCGGACCAUUUUGGGAGGAGGCCUCUCUUGAAGCUGGGCUCGGCUAGAAUGGCAGUCUCCACAGCAGGUCUGGGCCUGGGCUUGAAGUUCCUCAAGCGAUCCGGGAGCAAGCCGACGCGGGCCAUCAUGCAGUCGUGGAGUCUGUCUGUGCGGACAUCUCGUUCUUUUCAAUAGGGCUCGGGCCCAUCACAUGGUUCUACUCGUUCGAGAUACUCCCGACGAGGCUGCGGGCCCAAGGCAUGAGCCUGGCCAUAGCGGUGAACCAGGUGGUGAGCAGGGAGGUGGCAAUGUCGUUUUUCAGCAUUUCGAGAGAGAUAACGUUUGGGGGCAUGUUCUUUUUGCUUGCAGGAAUCAUGAGUUGGCGACUAUUUUUUUUUUCUUUCUUGCCUGAGACCAAGGGCAAGAGCUUGGAAGAGACUUGGGCUCUCUUUGAGAAUGAAGACCCUGCAAGCUCACAAAAUUGAGAUUGAUCAAGCGUAGCUUUUCAUGUAAGAAGCUCCUUGGGCUUGGUUUUGCAGCUAUAAAUGUGAAUGGAAUAUACUCCGGCGUUCA